CGAAGGAAUUACCAUCAAGAACAAGUCACGUUUAAAAGUCAAAGGAUUCGACGAUUAGGCCACAUAGUGUAGAAAUUUUGUUCAAGAUAGAGACAUUACAUUUAUUUAGUAACAUUACGAACCGGAUACUGAAUGAAAAUCGAGUAAUAAUGUAAAUAUUUAUCGAGUAAUAAUGUCAUUAAAAAAUUAACGUUAUACUGACCACCAUCGUUUUCGAAUUUGGGUUUU